rnacentral:lncRNA from 1 species
AGGAUUUGGUUUAGGAUUUAGGGUUUGGUUUAGGAUUUAAGAUUUAUUUAGGAUUUGAUUUAAGAUUUAAGAUUUAGUUAGGAUUUGAUUUAGGAUUUAGAGUUUGGUUUAGGAUUUGGUUACGAUUUAGGAUUUGGUUUAGGGUUUGUUUAGGAUUUGGUUAAGGUUUGGUUUAGGAUUUGGUUAGGUUUUGGUUCAGGGUUUAGGAUUUGAUUAGAGUUUGGUUAGGAUUUGAUUUAGGAUUUGAUUAGGUUUUGGAUUAGGAUUUAAGAUUUGGUUAGGAUUUGGUUUAGGAUUUAGGGUUUAAGAUUUAAUUAGGAUUUAAUUUAGGGUUUAGGAUUUGAUUUAGGAUUUAAGAUUUGGUUUAGGAUUUAGAGUUUGGUUUAAGAUUUAGUAUUUGAUUAUUAUGAUCUAAUUAGAGUUUAUUUAAUAUUCUAUUAGAGCUAGGAUUUUGUUGUUGUAAUUUCUAUUCUAUCUUCCU